UUCGUCACACUAUCAUUAACUGAAUCCAUAGGUUAAUGAGGCGAACCGGGGGAACUGAAACAUCUAAGUACCCCGAGGAAAAGAAAUCAACCGAGAUUCCCCCAGUAGCGGCGAGCGAACGGGGAGGAGCCCAGAGCCUGAAUCAGCAUGUGUGUUAGUGGAAGCGUCUGGAAAGGCGCGCGAUACAGGGUGACAGCCCCGUACACAAAAGCGCAUGUGCUGUGAGCUCGAUGAGUAGGGCGGGACACGUGGUAUCCUGUCUGAAUAUGGGGGGACCAUCCUCCAAGGCUAAAUACUCCUGACUGACCGAUAGUGAACCAGUACCGUGAGGGAAAGGCGAAAAGAACCCCGGC
rnacentral:rRNA from 1 species